AAAAGCCCGGGAAGGGCCCUGAGCUGGGAUUGGUGGAGAGGCUUGCAUAAAAGGGGGAGCAGUUUUUCCUGGGGGGAAUGAGAGAGAGGGGCUGAGGGACAGGCUGGAUUCAGGGUCUCAGCGCAGCGGUCCCUUGGAGAGCGCCUGAGAGAGGCCUGCAGGAGCAGAGUGGAGAAGCUACAUGGUAGGAACAGGCAGGGACUGCUGGUGUGGAGAGUCCAAGCCUGGAGAGACCUGACUGCAGCCAGUGUGGCUGGGUGAGCACAGCAGAGCCGGGGGAACGGGGGACUGCCGGAGUCUGCCCUAGUUUCCCUGAGGGGUGAGGGGCUCCAGGGGCAGGCAAAGCCCAGGAGCGGCUGCAUUUGCUGGGGCUGUGAGGCUGUGCGGGGCAAGACGGUUGCUACAGCCUGCAGCCCAGACACUGCUCCUAGCAGAACCAGGGAAGGGGGUCAAAGGCAGGGGAAGGCCGUCUUGCAGGAACUGCAGAGGAGUCGCUGCUUGCUGCCCGGAGACCCCAGGAGUACGGAGACGGACACCAGUGUCAGGGAGCAUCCACAGACCACGUGCAGGGACACAGACAGUUCCGCUCGCUGAGAUACCCCACCAGGGGCAGUGCACACGGGAUCCCCAGGACACCGUGUGCAAGUGAGAUACUGUAUUGGUAACCCACCGUUAUCACACCCAAGCUGUGUAUCUUCCAUCUACUGUAAGAAAACAAAUUGACUCUCAUUUGAAGCAGAAAGUCAUCAGCUGUAGUGGGCAGUUAAAUACUAACAACAUCAGCCCUUGUGUUUGGGAUGAGUUGAAUGAUGGGGUAAUGUUGUGUAUUUCAACAAGAAGAGUCCUGCGCACAUCCAUCCUGGAUGCUAGAAAGGAAUGGGAGCCAUCGUGCAUCAAACAUAGGCACUUCCUUUGCAACUGUCUGUGCACAAAUUACAUGCAUGCUUUACUUCUACCAUUGAGUUAAUGACUACCUACAUCUGGUAGGACUCUUUGGCUAUAACAAAUAAUAAGAAUAGGCAAGAUCAAGUUUCUAUGUCCUGGGAUUGUCUUUCCUUAUCAGUGCACCUUCCUUCCCUUUGCUGAGUGCCCAGGUUAGCAAAGCUGUAUGGCUAGUAGACGCUUCCUGUGUCACACCUGCACUUUGGUGCCCCUAUUUCUGCCUUGUGUAUUUUUUUUCUAUGCCUUCUUAGCCCACUGACUCCAGUUACUUCAUGGCAACAUAUCUUGAGCCAGCUGCAAACAUUCCCUGGUAACAAGCAAAACUGUGUAUGAGAUUGAGGGAGAGUUUUGUGAUGGAGAUGUUUUGUUCCUCACUUGCUAUGUCAAAGUGUAUCUGACAGUUAAGCCAUGUCCUUGCAAUUAACUGUUUUUUAUCUUGAGGGAUUAGCCUGUUGGCCAACAAGGUUUCUUUCCUACCCCUAUAUUCCAUUUACAACUUAUUUGCAGUUAGGCUCACUCCUCUUAGGGCUUUCUGAACCUCUGAAUGCCCGAGUGGUGACAUCACUGCAGCCAGCGGGUGGAUAUGUGUUAUCAGGAGGAAGUUUUGCUUCCAACCCAUUCUGGAAAAGAAGAAUACAACGCGUUCAAAAGCAAAGCUGGCUGUAUUGAUUUGUUUCCAGACUCGGGAUUGCUUCUGAGUACAGAUCUUGGCCUUUAGUAGCCAGAUUGAGGAAGGUGCUUUUACUUCUAUCAUACUUGUACUUAUUAUGUUUAAUGGCAUUGGAUGAAGGCAAUAAACAAACAGAAAAUAAACUUAAAAAUA